rnacentral:rRNA from 1 species
AUUGAACGCUGGCGGAAUGCUUUACACAUGCAAGUCGAACGGCAGCACGGACUUCGGUCUGGUGGCGAGUGGCGAACGGGUGAGUAAUAUAUCGGAAUGUGCCCAGUCGUGGGGGAUAACGUAGUGAAAAUUACGCUACUACCGCAUACGAUCUAAGGAUGAAAGCGGAGGAUCUCAAGCCCUCGCGCGAUUGGAGCGGCAGAUAUCAGAUUAGGUAGUUGGCGAGGUAAAGGCUCACCAAGUCAACGAUCUGUAGCUGGUCUGAGAGGACGACCAGCCACACUGGAACUGAGACACUGUCCAGACUCCUGCGGGAGGCAGCAGUGGGGAAUUUUGGACAAUGGACGCAAGUCUGAUCCAGCCAUUCCGCGUGCAGGACGAAGGCCUUCGGGUUGUAAACUGCUUUUGUACAGAACGAAAAGGUCUCUAUUAAUACUAGGGGCUCAUGACGGUACUGUAAGAAUAAGCACCGGCUAACUACGUGCCAGCAGCCGCAGUAACAC